rnacentral:rRNA from 1 species
UACGUAGGGUGCAAGCGUUAAUCGGAAUUACUGGGCGUAAAGCGUGCGCAGGCGGUGGGUUAAGACAGAUGUGAAAUCCCCGGGCUCAACCUGGGAACUGCAUUUGUGACUGGCCAGCUAGAGUAUGGCAGAGGGGGGUGGAAUUCCACGUGUAGCAGUGAAAUGCGUAGAGAUGUGGAGGAACACCGAUGGCGAAGGCAGCCCCCUGGGCCAAUACUGACGCUCAUGCACGAAAGCGUGGGGAGCAAACAGG